GGCGGACGGGUGAGUAAUACUUAGGAAUCUGCCCGUUAGUGGGGGACAACUCGAGGAAACUCGAGCUAAUACCGCAUACGCCCUACGGGGGAAAGCGGAGGACCUUUCGGGGCUUCGCGCUAAUGGAUGAGCCUAAGUCGGAUUAGCUUGUUGGUGAGGUAAAGGCUCACCAAGGCGACGAUCCGUAGCUGGUCUGAGAGGACGAUCAGCCACACUGGGACUGAGACACGGCCCAG
rnacentral:rRNA from 1 species